AUUGAACGCUGGCGGCAGGCCUAACACAUGCAAGUCGAACGAGUGGCGGACGGGUGAGUAAUGUCUGGGAAACUGCCUGAUGGAGGGGGAUAACUACUGGAAACGGUAGCUAAUACCGCAUACCAUCGGAUUUGCCCAGAUGGGAUUAGCUAGUAGGUGGGGUAACGGCUCACCUAGGCGACGAUCCCUAGCUGGUCUGAGAGGAUGACCAGUCACACUGGAACUGAGACACGGUCCAGAAUCCUAAGGGAGGCAGCAGUGGGGAAUAGUGCACAAUGGGAGCAAGCCUGAUGCAGCCAUGCCGCGUGUAUGAAGAAGGCCUUCGGGUUGUAAAGUAAGUUCAGCGGGGAGGCGUUACCCGCAGAAGAAGCACCGGCUAACUCCGUGCCAGCAGCCGCGGUAAUUC
rnacentral:rRNA from 1 species